GCCAUGCACCAAAUGCUCAGUAACUGCCCGGAGAACCAAUCAAGUGGCCAGAAUGCUGGAGAAUGGAGGGUUCUGGACAAACCCCUGUCCGGUCAGCUCUUACACGGCUGGAUGUCUUAGGCUGGGUUUCCCUAGACAGAGGAAGCAGCCUCUGAGAAAAGGAUUGGGGUCUUAACCGUGCAUGUGGGAAGUGAGUGUGUCGGUACAGGAUGCCUUCAGAAGCAGCGCUCCGUCCCUCUGGGAACUUCUGGGAAGGGGGACGAAACACCGCUUAAAGUUACAGCCGCCUCGAGGGGCCAGGACACUGGUCUUGGGAAGGAAUACAGUUAUUUCCAUUUUACCGAUGAGGAAAUUCUGUUGAGAGGACGAAUCCCUUGCUCAAGGAUACACAACGUGCGAACACUGCAAUGUGAGCCGUGGAUCACCCAAGGCGGAAUCUGAGCGCUUACCUGGUAUACUGCACCUCCCGACGCUUCGGGGACAAGCUAGGCACAGUCC
ensembl:lncRNA